rnacentral:rRNA from 1 species
GACGAACGCUGGCGGCGUGCCUAAUACAUGCAAGUCGAACGAACUCUGGUAUUGAUUGGUGCUUGCAUCAUGAUUUACAUUUGAGUGAGUGGCGAACUGGUGAGUAACACGUGGGAAACCUGCCCAGAAGCGGGGGAUAACACCUGGAAACAGAUGCUAAUACCGCAUAACAACUUGGACCGCAUGGUCCGAGUUUGAAAGAUGGCUUCGGCUAUCACUUUUGGAUGGUCCCGCGGCGUAUUAGCUAGAUGGUGGGGUAACGGCUCACCAUGGCAAUGAUACGUAGCCGACCUGAGAGGGUAAUCGGCCACAUUGGGACUGAGACACGGCCCAAACUCCUACGGGAGGCAGCAGUAGGGAAUCUUCCACAAUGGACGAAAGUCUGAUGGAGCAACGCCGCGUGAGUGAAGAAGGGUUUCGGCUCGUAAAACUCUGUUGUUAAAGAAGAACAUAUCUGAGAGUAACUGUUCAGGUAUUGACGGUAUUUAACCAGAAAGCCACGGCUAACUACGUGCCAGCAGCCGCGGUAAUACGUAGGUGGCAAGCGUUGUCCGGAUUUAUUGGGCGUAAAGCGAGCGCAGGCGGUUUUUUAAGUCUGAUGUGAAAGCCUUCGGCUCAACCGAAGAAGUGCAUCGGAAACUGGGAAACUUGAGUGCAGAAGAGGACAGUGGAACUCCAUGUGUAGCGGUGAAAUGCGUAGAUAUAUGGAAGAACACCAGUGGCGAAGGCGGCUGUCUGGUCUGUAACUGACGCUGAGGCUCGAAAGUAUGGGUAGCAAACAGGAUUAGAUACCCUGGUAGUCCAUACCGUAAACGAUGAAUGCUAAGUGUUGGAGGGUUUCCGCCCUUCAGUGCUGCAGCUAACGCAUUAAGCAUUCCGCCUGGGGAGUACGGCCGCAAGGCUGAAACUCAAAGGAAUUGACGGGGGCCCGCACAAGCGGUGGAGCAUGUGGUUUAAUUCGAAGCUACGCGAAGAACCUUACCAGGUCUUGACAUACUAUGCAAAUCUAAGAGAUUAGACGUUCCCUUCGGGGACAUGGAUACAGGUGGUGCAUGGUUGUCGUCAGCUCGUGUCGUGAGAUGUUGGGUUAAGUCCCGCAACGAGCGCAACCCUUAUUAUCAGUUACCAGCAUUAAGUUGGGCACUCUGGUGAGACUGCCGGUGACAAACCGGAGGAAGGUGGGGAUGACGUCAAAUCAUCAUGCCCCUUAUGACCUGGGCUACACACGUGCUACAAUGGAUGGUACAACGAGUUGCGAACUCGCGAGAGUAAGCUAAUCUCUUAAAGCCAUUCUCAGUUCGGAUUGUAGGCUGCAACUCGCCUACAUGAAGUCGGAAUCGCUAGUAAUCGCGGAUCAGCAUGCCGCGGUGAAUACGUUCCCGGGCCUUGUACACACCGCCCGUCACACCAUGAGAGUUUGUAACACCCAAAGUCGGUGGGGUAACCUUUUAGGAACCAGCCGCCUAAGGUGGGACAGAUGAUUAGGGUG